rnacentral:rRNA from 1 species
UACGAAGGGGGCUAGCGUUGUUCGGAUUUACUGGGCGUAAAGCGCACGUAGGCGGAUCGUUAAGUCGAGGGUGAAAUCCUGGAGCUCAACUCCAGAACUGCCUUCGAUACUGGCGAUCUUGAGUCCGGAAGAGGUGAGUGGAACUCCUAGUGUAGAGGUGGAAUUCGUAGAUAUUAGGAAGAACACCAGUGGCGAAGGCGGGUCUCUGGGCAGUAACUGACGCUGAGGAGCGAAAGCGUGGGGAGCGAACAGG